rnacentral:rRNA from 1 species
UUGGGCACUCUAAAGAGACUGCCCGGUGGUCAAACCGGAGGAAGUGGGGAUGACGUCAAGUCCUCAUGGCCUUUAUGACCAGGGCUACACACGUACUACAAUGGCCGGUACAAAGGGCAGCGACACAGCGAUGUGAAGCGAAUCCCGAAAAGCCGGUCUCAGUCCGGAUUGGAGUCUGCAACUCGACUCCAUGAAGUUGGAAUCGCUAGUAAUCGCGGAUCAGCACGCCGCGGUGAAUACGUUCCCGGGCCUU